GUAGGUGGCAAGCGUUGUCCGGGAAUUAUUGGGGCGUAAAGCGCGCGCAGGCGGUUCUUUAAGUCUGAUGUGAAAGCCCACGGGCUCAACCGUGGGAGGGUCAUUGGAAACUGGAGAACUUGAGUACAGAAGAGGAAAGCGGAAUUCCACGUGUAGCGGUGAAAUGCGUAGAGAUGUGGAGGAACACCAGUGGCGAAGGCGGCUUUCUGGUCUGUAACUGACGCUGAGGCGCGAAAGCGUGGGGAGCAAACAGGAUUAGAUACCCUGGUAGUCCACGCCGUAAACGAUGAGUGCUAAGUGUUAGGGGGUCUCCGCCCCUUAGUGCUGCAGCUAACGCAUUAAGCACUCCGCCUGGGGAGUACGGCCGCAAAGGCUGA
rnacentral:rRNA from 1 species